rnacentral:lncRNA from 1 species
UUUUUUAAAGUUAAAAGUUUUCUUUUAGACCAUCGUAAUAUUAUUAUUUUGGAAUAAUAUACAUAAUUGGAGAUGAGAAAUAAGUAGAGUGUAUUGUAGGAUCAACUUUUAUUGUUGAUAAAAUCGUUGAAUUAAAAAAAACACCUUUCCUUGAUUUAAAAAAUUGAUGUGUAUUUUAUAGAACUUUUUUUAUUCAAUAAUAUUUAAGGUUCAAAAACUCAACCUAAAAGUAGUGGUUUAGGGACAACCUAAAUGCAGAUGACAUUUAUCUAUAAGAACAAUUAAAAGUAAUAAAAUUUCAGCGUCUAAAAACAUCAUAUAUAUAUAUAUAUAUAUAUAUAUAUAUAUAUAUAUAUAUAUAUAUAUAUAUAUAUAUAUAUGAGUUUUGCUAGAAGAUAACUUUUAUCAGUGGCGGAACUAGGAAAAAAGUAUAGGGUGGGCUAUAAAUAGUGAUGGAGCUUAAUUUUCUUACAGGUACAUUUUAUCAUUGGUUAGUUUCAAUGACUACAAAUUUGUUAUUUGUUGAAUAUAAUUCAAACCGGUAUUUUAAAAUCCGAACCGUUUAUCAACCUUGAUAAACUACAAGAUAAUUGAUCGAACAACUAGGUCAUUAAACCUAACGACUGAAUUAAAUGACUCAACUUCAAUAAACAGAUGUAUAGGUAUUAAAUCGAAUUGAAUCAAACGACCGAGUAAAAAAAAAAACUCAUGACAUAUAUAUAUAUAUAUAUAUAUAUAUAUAUAUAUAUAUAUAUUAAUGUAAAAAAGAUCAUUACAUAAGAAAAUAUACUUAUAAUCAAGUACAAUAAUGAAAUCAUAUUGUACUUGCCUCAAUUAUUUUUAUGAUUUCUAACAAAUUCUAUUUUAUUUUAUUUAUGAUUUCUAAAAAUUAUUUUUAUUUUUUAGAAAAUAGGAAUGAAUCAUAUUUAAACUAAGAUCAAUAUGAUAUCUGAAGUAAGAAAUGAUGUUAGUGAUUGGCCCUUGCCUCAAGUCACUAACGUUGAUGAAUGGGUUCCUUUUGAAGGGCAACUAUUUGAAGAUAAUGAAUAUGUAAAUUCUUUAACAUUUCAAGAGCUACAACAUGAACCCUUGCCUCAAGUCAACAACAUUGAUGAGGGGGUUCCUUUUGAAGGGCAAGUAUUUGAAAGUGAUAAUGUUGCUUAUGAAUUUUAUUGUUUAUUUGCAAAACAAAAUGGAUUUUCUAUUAGGCGUGAUCACAUUUAUAAAUCUAGUAAAAAUGUGUCUGAAGAGAAUCCAUCUGGUGUUUAUAAGAGGGAAUUUAUUUGUCAUGGUGGUGGUAUUGUUAAACCACGCAAAACUGUUGAAGUGGAAAAUCAAAGGAAACGAAAAUCUUCAAGAUGUGAUUAUGGUGCAAAGAUGGUAGUUAAUAAGAGAACAAUUGGCUUUGAGAAAAAAUGGGUGGUUAAAUAUUUCAACAAUUCUCACAACCACGAGUUAUUGGAUAACAAAGAGGUUCGAUUUCUUCCUGCUUAUCGUAACAUUCCAAUUGUUGAUCAAGAUCACAUACUAUUAUUAUCUAAAGUUGGUUGCUCUGUAAGUAUUAUAAUGAGAGUGCUUGAGUUAGAGAAAAGAACGGGCACAGGAAAUUUACCAUUCUUAGAAAAAGAUAUUAGAAAUUUUAUUCAGUCAUAUAGUGGUAUUGGUAAAGAAAGUGAUGCUGCAGAUGUUCUCAGAUUGUGCAAAAGUUUGAAAGAUCGAGAGGAGGCCUUCCAAGUUGAAUUCACAAUUGAUGAAAGUAACAAAUUGGAGCAUAUUGUUUGGGCAUUUGGUGAUUCAAUUCGCGCAUACGAAGCUUUUGGAGAUGUUGUAGUUUUUGAUACCACAUAUAGAAUAAACCGUUAUGGGAUGCCUCUUGGAAUAUGGGUUGGUGUUGAUAAUCAUGGAAAUUCAAUUUUUUUUUGGUUGCGUUCUAUUGCAAAAUGAGAAGAUUUCUUCCUUCGAAUGGGCUAUAAAGGUAAAUUUCUAUUUACUCAAAGUUGUUAUCACUGUUAAAUUUUUAAAUUUGAAACUUUAUUAAAUUAAUUUAGAUUUAUGUUACAAUUUUCAGAGUUUCCUAGCUUUUGUGAAAGGAAAAUAUCCAAAAAUAAUUCUUACCGAUCAAGAUCUUUCAAUUAAAGAAGCCAUUGCAACGGAAUUGCCAAACACAAAACAUGCAUUUUGUAUAUGGCAUAUUGUCGCAAAGCUGUCAAGUUGGUUUUCUUUUCCACUAGGUUCGAGAUAUGAUGACUUUAAACAUGAGUUUCAUAAGGUAUAUCAUUUAGAAUGUGCAGAUGAUUUUGAACGAGAAUGGAAAAUAAUGGUCUCACAGUUUGGUUUGGGCGUGGAUAAGCAUAUUGACUUGCUCUUUUCCCAUCGUAAAUUUUGGGCCUGAGCUUAUUUGAAGGACUUUUUUUUUGCUGGAAUGACAACAACAGGACGCUCAGAAUCGAUAAAUUCAUAUAUAAAAAGAUUCUUAGAUGCUAACAACAGGACGCUCAGAAUCGAUAAAUUGUUAUAUUUUUGUGUAGGUUGGUGUUGCUGUCAAAAUUAGAAAUCAAGCUGGAGAAGAGGCACGAAUGCGUCAAAAGUAUCAUAAUCCUCAUAUUACAACACAUUUUCCUAUUGAAGAACAUGCCUCGUCUAUACUCACACCUUAUGCCUUUAAGUUGCUUCAAUAUGAGAUCGAAUUAUCCGCAAAGUAUGAAGCAAUUGAAGCUGACAAUGGCUCUUAUGUUGUGCAACAUCAUACCAAAGUUGAUGGUGGUCGUAUAGUAAGUUUGAUAACAGAAGAAGAGUCAAUUCAUUGUUCUUGUAAAGAGUUUCAAUUUUCAGGAAUACUAUGUAGACAUGCAAUUCGAGUGCUAAUGUUUAAAAAUUGUUUUGUUCUUCCAUCAAAAUAUCUUCCUUUUCGAUGGAGACGAGAAAGAUCAUUGAUCCCAAAAUCUAGUCAUGUGAUUAACUGCAAUGAUGUAUCCUCUGCCAAAUUUCAGUCUCUAAUUCGAUGUUUGGAAGUCGAAUCAUUAAAGACAAGUGAACGAGAACAGGUUGCUACAAGAGAGUUAGAAAAUAUCAUCAUAAAGAUAAAAAGGCAUGCCUGAAACUCAAGAACAUGUGAUUGAUUUGGAAGCGGAUGUUUCCAACAAUGACGACUACGACGUUGAAAAUCCUGUUGUUUCAAAAACAAAAGGUCGGCCAAAAGGAUCAAGACCAAAAGGAGGGGUUGAAGCUGCCAAGAAGCCUCGUCGUUGUCAUGUUCCAGAUUGUGGUGGAACUAAUCAUGACUCACGAAACUGUCCAAACAAAAAGAGAAAAAUGGAAGUAUUGCCUUCUCAAUCUCCUAAUAAGUAAGUUUUAAUUGGUGUGUCUUGUUCUACUCAUGACUAAUAUAUUAAAUUAAUGUUGACUGAAUUUUUAUGGUGCUUUGAUAGGAUCAUGAAGGGUUGGAAGUAGUCAUCUUGAAAUAGUGAAUUUGACAGAUGAAGCAGCCAAAUAGUUUAGAUCAAACCGUGUAAUUAGUGAAUUUUGUGGCUGCAAUCUGUAAGAUCAAACUAGCAGUAUAUUUUGUAGGAUUAUUAUGAUCAAAUUGUAUAAUUACUAGUAUAUUUUGUACCAGUAUAUAGCCUGUGUUUUGUUCCAGUUCGCCCAAUCUUUCUCUUCUUGAGAGGUCCUGUUUGGCUUAAUAUAUUAUUGCACAUUAUUAUGAUUAUGUGAAAUGUUGAUGUUAAUUAUUGAACAUCAAAUUGGUUAUUAAAAGUCAAAGAGUCUAAAAAAAAAAAAAGUAAAAGAUCAAACUAGCAAUAUAUUUCUGUGAAAUAUAUUAUUGCAUAUUAUUGCACCUCUUAAAAAAGAAGUAAAAGAUCCAAUGAAAAAAUGUGUUCUCUUUUUGACAAACACAUUGGUUGUAGGAAGAGAGAGAAAAUGAUGAUUUCUAGGUGAAUGGGAAAUGACUUUAAAGGACAUGUAUUAUAUCAUUAUUGAAGAACAAUCUAAAUUUCCUUUGAAUUAAUUUGAUUUACAUGAUUGUGAAUUAAUUUGUAUUAGGAGAAGUGAAUCAAUCUAAAUUUAAUCAUUUGUAUUAUAUCAUUACGGGGGAGUAACUAGUGGUUUAAUGACAAUCUAAAUUUCCUUUGAACAACCCCACAAACAACUUGAACCUUUUUUUUUUUUUUUUUUUGUCAAUUAACAACUUGAAAAUUUUAUUUCUUAAAAUACUCACAUUGAAAUAAUUAUUUUAUCCACGUUGGGUUUUGAUAAGGUAUAUAAUACAAUGAUAAGGUAAUUAUUUUAUUCAUAUUAAAUAAAAUAUUACCUCAAGAAAGAAAAAAAAGUUCAUGAUUGGUAAAUAUGUAUGUUUGGAUUGAUGAAAAUGCAAGUAGUAAAAUCUAAAGAUUCUCUACCCUAUGGUAUAAGUUACUCUAUAAGGCAAACUAUACUUCUCUCAAAAAAAUAAAAAAGGCAAACUAUACUAGCGAUAAAUUUACGUUAAAAUGACCCUCUUUUAAUUCAUCAUAUAUAGGAAAAUGAAUUGAAUUUUUUUUUCGCGGACAACGGUGGUAUUUUUGUUAGUUUGUUUUAAUUCAAGUUUAGUUUAGUGAUAAUCACAAUCAGUGGUUAAUCACAUUUUGUUUUAGUUUGUUAUGAAGUUUGUUACAAGUUUGUUAGAGGUUAGUAUAUAAGAUCUAGAGUUUGUUACAUUGCUUGUGCUUCAAGCAACUUAGCUAGAUAUUGUAUAUAAGCUACCUCCUUUGUACAUUUUCGUAUGUAGAAUCAAUAAAGAUCAAUUACAAUUUCAUCAUAAUUUUUCUUCUCUCUCAAUUCUCUCUCUAAUUCACAAAACCUUAGAAUAAGAAACUACUUCUGAAACUGCUUCUGAACUAGCUUCUGAACAAGCUUCCGCUUCUGGUUUUUCUGCGCUAUCAAAUUGGCAUCAAGAGCCUUUGGUUUCAUUCUAAGGGGUAAUCAAGAUCUUCAAUCACGCAAUUUGUAGGAAGAAACGCUGAAGGAAACACCAUGAAUGGUAGCAGCAGUUUCAACACACAUCUUCCAAUUCUUGAAGCACGCAAUUGGGAAAGAUGGAGUGCAGUGAUGAAGAAUCUGUUUGGAGCACAAGAUUUGCUUGAAAUUGUGCAGAAUAGUGUAGGUGAAUUAGCUGCGAAUGCCACUGAAGUGCAAAGGAACGCACACAAGGAAUUGAAGAAGAAAGAUUGCAAGGCUCUGUUCUUGAUUCAACAAAGUCUUGAUGAAGGAAACUUUGAAAGAAUCUCAAAAUCACUAAGUUCAAAGGAAGCAUGGGACAUUCUUUCAAAGUACCAUGAAGGUGAUGAUAAAGUGAAGUUGAUUAAGCUUCAAUCACUGAGAAGGAAAUUUGAGCUGAUGCAAAUGGAAGAUGAUCAGAAGAUUUCUGAGUACAUCUCUAAACUCAUCAAUCUUGUGAAUCAGAUGAAGGCUUGUAGUGAAGCAAUCACUGAUCAACAGAUAGUUGAAAAGAUUAUGAGGACCCUAUCUUCAAGGUUUGAUUUCAUUGUGGUGGCAAUUCAGGAAUCAAAAGAUGUUAAGACAUUGAAGAUUGAGGAGCCGCAGAGUUCAUUAGAAGCUCAUGAAUUGAUGGUUUCAGAAAGAAGCAAUGAAAGAUCAAUUCGACAAGCCCUGCAAGUUCAAACUAUCAAGAAGGAUGAUUAUGAUAGGAAGAACUUCAAGAAAGGGAAGAAAAACUCUAAGGGAAGAAACUGGUCUAAAGGCAAGAACAAUGGAUCUGAUAAAGGUGAAUCUUCAAAGGAAGGAAAUUCUAAUCAAAAGAAGAAAGUUGAUAAGAAGAAGAUUCAGUGUUUCAAAUGUGAGAAAUUUGGACACUAUGCCUCUGAAUGUUGGUCUGGUAAAGGAAAGCAAUCAAAUAAUGAUGAAGAGGAAGCCAAAAUUGCACAAGAUGAUUCAGAUUCUGAGUCAUUAUUCAUGAUGGUUACAACAAUUAGUAAUGAGAGCUGCAAUUCAGAAAGUUGGUUCUUAGAUACUGGUUAAUCUAAUCAUAUGACUGGAACCAAGACAUGGUUAAGAGAAGUGGAUUUUGGAAGAAACACAAAGGUGAAACUUGCAGAUCAUAGAGUAUUAGUUGCAGAAGGAAUGGGGAAUAUUGCUAUUGAAGGAAAGAAUGGGAAAGUGGCAAUAAUUGAAUAAGUUCUCUAUGUUCCUGGAAUGCAGUGCAAUUUGCUGAGUGUAGGUCAAUUCAUUCAGAAAGGAUACUCAGUUACUAUGAAGGACAACACCUUUAAGUUGUUUGAUAAUCAUCAAAGGUUAGUUUUGAAAACUCCUCUUGCAAAGAAUAUAACCUUUCAGACCAAUAUGAAAGCUGUAGAAUUGAACUGUUUAUCUGCUAUGGUAAAAGAUGAAGAUAGCUGGUUAUGGCACUAUAGAUUUGGUCAUCUCAAUUUUAGAGGUCUUAAUCAAUUGGUUGAUAAAGAAAUGAUUCUGGGAGUGCCUAAAAUUGAGAUACCUAACACAGUUUGUGAUACUUGCUUGUUGGGAAAGCAACCUAGAAGUGCAUUCAGUUCAAGUUCAGCAAGUAGAUCAAAGGAGCUGCUUAAUGUUGUAUAUUCAGAUGUGUGUGGUCCUUUAGAGGUUCCUUCAUUAGGAGGAAACAAAUAUUUCAUCAGUUUUGUUGAUGAGUUUAGCAGAAAACUCUGGUUAUAUUUGAUUAAGGCCAAAAGUGAAGCAUUUGAUAUGUUCUAGAAGUUUAAAAUCUUAGUUGAAAAACAAAGUGGUAAAUCCAUUAAGAUUUUAAGAACUGAUGGUGGUGGUGAGUAUACCUCAAAGGUGUUUGAGAAGUUUUGUGAAGACAAUGGCAUUGUGCAUGAAGUCACUGCUCCUUAUACUCCACAACACAAUGGUUUGGCUGAAAGAAGGAAUAGUAGCCUGCUUGACAUGACCAGAAGUAUGCUAAAGAUGAAGAAGAUGCCUAAUACAUUUUGGGGAGAAGCAGUAAGAACUGCAGCAUACAUCUUAAACAGAUGCCCCACUAAGAAACUUAAUCAAAUUCCUGAAGAAAUUUGGUUAGGAUGCAAGCAGUCAGCAAAACACUUGAGAAUUUUUGGUUCAUUGUGCUAUAUGCAUAUCCCUGAUGCAAAGAGAAGGAAGUUGGGGGACAAGAGUGAGCCUAUGAUACUGGUUGGCUAUCAUGAAACAGGUGCAUACAGAUUGUAUCAUCCUCUAAAUCACUCUAUAGUGAUUAGGCUACCUGACCCAAAAAAAAAUUCUACAAGCCACUUUUCUCACGUUGUUUUCGCUAUUUUCUUAUAUCUUGACCCUUACUUAUUGAUGUUGUUGAAACCAAGUUGGUCCACUAAUAACAAUAUCAUUUUAUGUUUUGAUGAUUAAAAAAAAUAUCUAAAUGGUUUUUCAAUUCGCAUUUAACUUAAUUUCUUAUUACUUUGAAAUCUUUCAACAAACUAUAUUCAUUUUAAAUUUUGCAAAUUUAUUUAUGUUAGUUCUAACAUUUAUCCCGCCAUUGCACGGGUCAUGAGCUAGUAAGUGUUAUUGGUACAUGGAGCCUUAAUCUUCUUGCACAAAUACCCACUUAAAAGUUUCAAUUGAAUGGGGUGGGGUAGCUCAACUGGUUUGAGUUAAGGGAAUUUUUUCUAGAGGUACUGAGUUUGACACGGACAAAGGAGAAAAGAGAAAAACUAAUUUCUAACAUACAUUAAAAAAAAAAAAAUAUCUUCUUAAAGCACCAACCCAAUUCAUAUUUUUUAUUUAUGUACUAAAAUGAUAGAUCAGUAUAUUUUUUAUUCAGUACAAAUUUGAAUAUCUGUUUAAACUGUACAUUUUUUAUUGGGUUAAAUAUGUUUUUGGUCCCUAUAAAAUUGGAAACUUCUAAGUUUAGUCCUUACUUAAUUUUAAUAACAUUUUUAGUCCCUACAAAAAUAAAAUUACAUGUAAUUUUAGUCCUUCUAAAAACUAAAUUUGUUUAAUUAUUCUUGAAUUCUUAAAUUUUUGAACGAUUUUUUGGAGACAUGUUUAGAACAUUAUAAAAUGUUCAUUUACUAAAAAAUAUAAUUUUUUAACAGGAGAAGAAUUAAAUAUGAAUUUUUUAAACGACAAAAAUUCAAGAAAAGAGUAGUAAAAAUCUGAACGUAGAAAUCAAAUUUUGAGUUAAUAUUUUGUAGAGGGACUUUCCGUAAUGUUCUUAAUAGGUGUACAAAAGAUUGUUUAAAAAUUCAAGAAUUUAAGCAUAAUUAAACAAAUUUGGAUUAAGAAUGGACUAAAACUAAAUGCAAAAUGAUUUUUUAGGGAUUAAAAAAGCUAUUAAAAUUAAGUAAGGAUUAAAUUUAAAAGGCUCCAAUUUUAUAAGGAUAUAAAACAUAUUUAACCCUUUUUAUUUGAUGUCAAAAGGAAAAGUUCAAUCAAUAAAUUUGUUUUUGUUGUAAAAUUUUGGAUAGUCGGGCAUGAGUGAUAUGCAAAACUAAAACAAAAAAAAAUACAACAAAUGUUACAUGAAGGAUUUUGAUUGAUGAAACAAAACUACCUUGACAAAAAAAAAAGAAUUAAAAGAAAGAAAUUGAAUAAGUUAUUAAGAUUAAUAAAAUUUUCUUGAAACAUCACCGAAGGGUUGUCUUUGAAUAAAGAUUUUAGGAAAUUGUAUAUUUUUGUAUAUAGAAGUUAUAGUUUUUAAAUGAUUGUAUAUUUACUAGAUAAAUGCUUCCUUAUCUCCAAUCCCCAUUACAACUCUGACUAAGUCUUAGGCUUUGUUUGGAUUGAUGGCAUGUGGUGGAAUGGAAUGGGAUGGAGUGGUAUAUAAUAGAGUUCCAUUGUUUGGAUAUUUAAAAAAUGAGUGGAAUGGAGUGGUAUAUGAUGGAAUCCAUUCCAUCCCAUUCCAUCAUCUUCCUUUAUUUUCAUUCCUCCCAAUUUGGGGUGUAUAGAAUGGAAUGAGGUCUAUUAAUUUGACAAUUACCUUUUUAACCUAGUUUUUUUUUUUAUUUCCAAUUGGUAGCCACGAAUUUCCGAUUGAACCCAGUUUUUUAUUUAAUUACACACGUUACCUCUAUACCCAACAACAUCAAACUCUACAACACUGUUCUACAUAGCACUAGACAGUCCAAUACAUCAAAAUCCUUUCUACAAAGCCAAACUACUCAUGAAAAUCAAUGAAAGUUCAUUAUAAUUAAAUAAAAAAAAUGUAAAAAAUGCAACGAAUGGAGAUGGUGGGGGUAACGUGAUGGACAAAUUUUUCAAACAAAAUUAAAACUUUUUUGCUACUAUUAUUUUUGUUACUAUUUUAUUAUAACUAUACAAUUCUAUAUAUGAUAGUAUUUUUAAAUAAGGGUAAAAAUGAAAUAAACAAGUUUGUUCCGUUCCGUCGUAAAAUGAGUUCUAUAAAAUACCCAAACAAUGGAAUGGAAACUCUAUCCCGCUCCGUUCCAUUCCAUCCCGCUCCAUUCCAUUCGUUUUAAAAUAUCCAAACAUAGCCUAGUGUUCCAUGCCUGAUAGUAGCUGGUUAUAUGUAAAUUCUAUUUUCUUAUAUUGAUAUUUCAAUUCCGUUCUUAAUUUUUUUUUUUUUUUUUUUUUUUUUUUUUUUUUUUUAUGCGAAAUACAAAAAUGAUAUUUGACUUAGAAAGUUGUAGACAUAGGCUUUCUCCGUAAGAGAGAGAUAUGGGUAGGAGCAUUUGUAGAUGUUAGUUACCAGGUAUUAGUCUCUGUUUGCAAUCAUACACAUUGUAUGAUCUUAAUGUCGUUACUAAAAAUAAUGAAUCUCAUAUCGUUUGUCAGAUAUGGAAACAUGCGAUCAAUGAAGUAAAUUAAACGAUUAAUUAAUGAAUCCCAACAAUAUUAUCUCUUUGUUCUUGUUUCAUUUUUUUUUAAGAAGUUAAACUAACCCCUUUCAAUUGACACCAGAGAUAAUUGAACCUGAGACCUUAAGAAGGAGCACUCUCAGGUUACAAGUCAAUACGACUAGGCCAACCUAAGUGGGUUUUUCUUAUUUCAUUAUUUAAUUGCAAAGACAAAUAUAUGUACAAAUAAUCCAUCGUUAUGUACUAAAAACAAUAUUCGUAUUUCAAAAAUAUUGCACGAAUUCCUAUGGAUACGGUAACCAUAAAUAUUUAUUUUGGGAAAUGAUAGGUGCAGUGACAAAAUUUAUCAAAAAAAUUUUAAGACAGUGUAUUUGCUAACACCUUUUCUUAAUUACACAACAUUACCUCCCUUAAUUUUCGUCAAAUAACAAAUUUAAUUGAUUGAGACAUUUUCUUAAUAUAUUUUUGAUAAAAACUCUAGAUAAAUAGAAAUGCUCAUUUAUUUUUUUAUACAGCUAUAAAAGCAGCUGAUCACUAAGUAACUAUUUUUUUUAUCUCAAUCUGUUUGCAAUAUUUCAAAAAUUAUUAGAUAAUUUUAUAAAUUAUUACCCCAAAAAUAAAAUUACCAUGUGUGUCACAUGGGAUAAAGAUCUAGUUUACCCUAAAUUUAAAGUAGUUGGAUUAAACCUUCAAAAAAUUGUAUUAAAGUGUUUGCAACUACUUUUAUAUCGACUAAAAUCCUACAAAUAUAAAUUAAAGUGUUUGCAAAUUGAAUUGUUUUUCAUAUCUUUUAAAGCUCAACAAGACAUCUAAUGUAUUUAUUUUGACAUGCAUAAAUUAAAAAGGCUUUGAAGUAAGGUAAAAUUUAUUGAUAUACCUAACUAUUCUAUUAAAGUUAUUUUUAAAAGGUGUGAUACCUCCAAAAUUAUGAGAGAAGAGGACAAUGAAAAAAAAAAAUCUUUACUACCUUAAAACUAUCUUAGAGUAACACACCAUAACUACAAGGUUCAUGAGAUUAGAGAAAUUAAAUUAAAUUAUAUCAUAGAGUGCCAACAUAAUAACCAAACGACAACUCAUGAAAUAUUCUAUCAUAUUUUAAGUUGUUUUCUUUGACAUUAUAACCCAUUCUCCUUUGUAGUAUGUUUUUGCACUCUCCAUGGUUUGAAACUCAUAGAAUCAUGCAUGUGCUUCUACCAAUUCACAUCUUUUAUCAAUGCACUUAAAAACAUAUAACAAGUCCCUAUACUUUGGACAAUAAUCAUCGGUUUCACAUUCUUCAUAAACUAUAAUGAAAAAACGAUAAUAAAAUAAUGUUACUAAAUAUGUUAAAAGAUUGUGCACAAACUAUAAAGUAAAGAAGGAAAUUUUGAAAAGAAUGAAAAAAAUGACUUACUGUCACUCAGUUGUGUUCUGAUGAGAAAUACUAUGGAAAUGAAUAGAAUCAUAGCAUAAACAAACUUUAGAAGUUGAAUCAUAUUUUUUCUUGUUUGCAUGUAAAAAAUUCGAAUAUGAUUUGUUCUAUUUAUAAUGUUCAUGCUCUCUUAAAAAUGAUUUUUAUAGUUUUGGCACUUAUGAAGUUGUAAAAACCCUUCAUAAAAUUAUAAUCAUCAUUAAUUAUCUCUUAAAUAUAUCAAAGUGUUGUAAACAUAAAGAGGUCAAAUGAAAAACUUACUAAUAAUAAAGAUUUAUUCCUUUUGACUAUAAUAUUCAUAUGUAAUUGAGCUUAAGUGGUUAAUGAACUUCACCAAAGAACGAAUCGUUCCGGAGAACCCGAGUUUGUUUCUGAUUUUAUCCAAAUGCAUUUUGGUAUUAUGCCUACCCAACUUGAAAUAGAUUGACGGAAACCAUUGAUGAUGAGGCAUUCUCUAGAUGGAUUUCAUAGUUCUCACCUUGAGAACAAAUUGUAUAGUCAGAGGUCUUUUUGACUUUGGAAUAAGUUCAAAUAGAACUCCUUCACAACUCCCUACAUUUUAAGCUAUAACUAUAAUAAGUCAUUACGAAUCAUGUGUCUUCAUUGUGUUAUGAUAAUGUGAGGAUGGGAGAAUAUUUGUAGAGUUUUAAUUAUGAUAAAUAAUACUGGAAUGAGGAUAUUAUUUCAGUUUUUCAUCAACUUUUUGUGAUGGAAUAUAGGAUAUGCAUUAAUUGCACUAUGACUGCUACACUCAAGCUAUUCGUAUUUCUACCUAUUUAACAUUUGGCUUGAAGUUGAUUAUUUAAAUGAAAAAUGAGUGAAUUUAAUAUCGAAUAUACUGUCACAAUAUAUUCUAUUUUUACUUUCAUUGAUUAGAACUCAACUAUUAUCAAAUGAAAUCAGUGCAGAUAAUUAGACAUUCAAGAUUUUGAGCUGGGAGAUUAGAAUGCAUUGAAGGAAUUGUUUGCCAAACACAUUGGGAAACUUUGAUGAAGGAGCUUGCUUUCACAUAACUCAGGAGAAAAAGACCUGUUCAAACACAGAUUAUCCUUGCAAGUACAAAAAAAAAAAAUGAAAACAAUUGUGUAGAACUAAUGUUAAUGAACCAUUUUUUUUGGACAAACAGAAAAUGUUGAUUCUUAUGUUAAUGAUAGGAUUAGAACCAUGUAAAGAGGAUGCAAGUAUUGGUGGCUCUUCAUUGCUGCUGGUUCCUCUAGUCCCUCAUUUGGCUUUGGGGACCUAUAGAAUAGAGACAAAGAUGAUGCAAGAAAUUGUAUGUAUAUAAAUUUUGAACUUAUCAAAAGGAGAAGGAACAACAACUCAUGAAGGAAAAACAAUCAAAAUUUCUCUUACCAAGCAGAAUAUGAUGUAUUUAGCACCUGAAGAUAGUGUGAAGGAUUCAGCAAUGUGGCAAAUGAAACUGUCGUUCAGCUUUUUUGUCUCUCUUUUUUACUUUAUUUUCUCUUUUUUUACUUUCUCCAACCUUUCUCUCAUGCUGACAGUGGCUUUUGUGGGAUCUUUUACUUUAUUUUCUCUGUUUUUUUUUUUUAAAAACUUUUUUUUAACAUUUCUACCAUUUUCAACUUUACAUGUAAAUAUUACUCCAGCUGCAACUAUUGUUGUUGUCUUUUAGUGCAAUAUAAGAAAUAAGAAAUAUGCCAGUGUCGGCAUGAAAAAAGGAAAAGAUUCCACAAAGUGCAGAGCAUUCAAUUUGCCCCUCUUUCAUUUUCUGAAUAAUCAAUAACCAAUGAAACUUUUUUAUACAUCUUCCUAUAAAAUUUAUUUCAAAGAUAACACAAAAAAUUAUGUUGUAAACUACUAUGUUUUAGUUUUGUUAAUAAGUAUGAUUUUUUUUUUGCUUAUAAUAUGGGACGGAGGGAGUACAUACCUACACCGCUUUGUUAUUCUCACUAUAUGCUUCUCAAUUCAUUCGUCGCCAUCUUCGAUCCAUUAUUGAAAGGAGAAUUAAUACAACUAAUAUUUUUAAUCUAUUAUUGAUGAUCCCAAAUCAUUCGAAUCACAUUGAGUAUUAUUUUAAUUUUUUAACAUGUGUAGUUUAAUUUUUUUAUGAUUAAUUUUGUGCUUAAUGUUUAUUAGUACAAUAUAAUUUUUUUGACCCAUCCGAGAUUUUCUUUCUGAUUCCGCCACUAUUUAUACCCAAGUAAGUGUAUGGUAGAAUCAAUUUAUGUUGUUGAUAAAAUCAUUGGAAAAAAAAUGUGACUGUGUAUUUAAUUUUGUAAUUGCAUGAUUUAUUUUACAUUAUCAUUCAAAUCAAUUAUAUAAUUCAUAUCGAUUUAAAAAAUAAUUUGGUAUUGAAUGUAAACUGCUUUUAAAAAUUAUUCGUAUAUCUAAUAAUUAAUUGAAAUAUGUUCUUAGGGCAGCUUUGUAUGUACACCUUUUUGUACCACUCUGUAAAAUUUCAGUUAAUCAAAUAUAUGGUCUCCGUGACUACGUUUAUUUAGUUGCGUGAUCACUAUUUAUUUGGUUAACUAAGUGGAAAAAUAGUGGUCACGCGCAUUUUAGUUGUGCGACCACAUUUUUUCAGCUUUUAAAUGCUGGAAAAAUAAUGGUCAUUGGUCACGCUGAAAUUUUUCAAAGUGAUAUAAAGAAGUGUACACAUUAAGGGUGUCUACCUACCUAUCUUUAUUCUUCCUCCUGUUUUAUUUUUCGACGUGCCUCUCCUUUGUCCAUUUUAUCGUGUUCCAUCGUGGUAUGCCUUUUUCUUGCGUGAAGAGCACAUCUUAAUAUCUAUAUACUUGAAGGAUCCGAUUGAUUUUUCAUGGCUCCUUUACCACCAGCUCAUGUUGUUGAUAUCAUUGUCAGCAGAGAAGAGGUAGUGCUAUUUCAUGUAGUUAGUUCUUCAAUUCAGCGACAACUUACUGUUGAUGUUAAUGACAGGUGGCGGUGGAAUUUGCACUCUUCAAAUAAUUACAUUGUUUGUAUUGCUUAUAAUUUCAUUCAACAAUCACCAAAUCAACAUAUCCUUGCAGAUGACAACCAUGUAUUUUGGCAUAAAGUUGUUUCUCUGAAAGUCAAUCUUUUUGUGUGCGUCUUCUUCUCAACCGCCUUCCAACAAAUGACAAUUUAUUUAUGAGAGGAGUGAUUCCGGCUACUUAUGGGAGGGUGUGGUAAUUUAGAGGAUAAACAAGAGAAUUGUUGUUUACACAUUUCAUAAGGCUGUGCCACACGAGUCAUUUACGUAAAUGCCCUUCAGCAGUUAACUGCCGAAGUUUUUAGUAAACCGGCGGCAGUUAACUACCGAGGAUUUCCUCGGCAGUUAACUACCGAUGCGAACUGAACAUAACAGAAGCAGAAACUCAAUUUUCUGAGUAUUGAUUCAUUGUUCAAAAAUUCUCCAAACCAUCCAACUUCUCCAAUUUCGAUUUGUCAGCAAAAUCAAAUGCAUCAUCUCCAUUUAAUCACAAGUAAGUAUCUUGACUCAUUUUUAAUCAUAAUGUUAAUUUGGGUAGGUUUUUUUUAUAAAAAAAAUGGUAGUUUUUAUGUGGUUAGGGUUGAUGUAGGAAUUGAAUUUUUUAUGAGUGCAUGUAGUUUAUAAUUGAAUGUAGUUGCUUUAAUUGAUGAUUGAAUGAUGUUAGGGUAUAAUGUGGUUUUCAAUGGUGGCAAAAGAACACAUUUUUAGUAUGUUUGAUAUUUUGCACACAAAGUGUUUGAUAAAAUGUGUCAAUGACAAUUUUAUUGAUUAUUUAGUUAGUUUAGGUAUUGGAUAUGAUUUUGAUUGUAAUUCGAAAAAGUGUAUAUUGAAUUAGGUUGAAUGUGUAUAUUGAAUUAUGUUUAGUUUAGGUUGAAUGUGUAUGACAAUGCAUUUGAUUAUUUACGUUUGAAUGUUAAUGAUAAUGUGUAUGAUAAUGUUUAGGUUCAAUCAAUGUCUUUAUUUUGGUAAAGUGGUUUAAUGUGAAAGUGGUUAUGUUUAGGUUGAAUGUGAAAGUUUAGGUUUUGUUUAGGUUUAGUGUUUUUGAUAAAGUGGUUGAAUGAUAUUAAUUUUAUUAUUUUUUUUGUAGAUAUGGCCGAUCAGGACCCCAUUGAUCCAUCGAAGAUGAUUGGUGGUAGGCGUGCGAUGACUCAGAGCCACCGCAGGAAGAGGCAGAGCAGCCACUUCCCAAAGAGGGGUAGAGGUCGGAGGGGAGAUGGCUCAGGAAGCUCUCAGGCUACACAGCCUGAGGAGUCACAGGUUGUUGACCCGUCACAGCCUGUUGACCAGACUGGGGUGGAGUACCUGAACUAUCAGGAUCAGGUACAGCAUGAUGUGACGGAUGGUGGAUAUGACCAGGAUCAUAUACCACAGCAGCAGGAUGCAGGAGACGAGGAUGACAUUGCAGCAGCUGCUGCACCGGAGGUGUUACCUAUGGAGCCUCCAUUUCCUGGUGGACCGGCUGACUUGUCAUUGCUCCACUCUUAUGCCGAUCAUGUGGCGUUGCCACUCUGGUAUAAUUCAAAUAAUGUAACUGUAUUUUUUUUAAAUAUUUUUUCUUUAUGUUAAAAUAUUUUCUUUAAUUUAAAUGUGUAUUUGUUUAAUUAUUAUAUCCAGUUUUAUAUGUGUUUUUUUUAAUUAUAUUUUGUAUGUUUAAUUGUUUUCUUUAAAUGUGUGUUUGUUUAAUUAUUAUAUCCACUUUUAUAUGUGUAUUUUUUAAUUCUAUUUUGUAUGUUUAAUUCUUUUCUUUAAAUGUGUGUUUGUUUAAUUAUUAUAUACAUUGUUUUAUGUUUAUUUUUUUAAUUCUAUUUUUUAUGUUUAAUUGUUCUCUUUAUAUGUGUUUUUGUUUAAACCAUAUUUAUUUUUCUAUUAUUUCAGGUUCGUAAGCUCCACGUGCUUAAACCGAUUAAUCAUGGGGCCAAGAUUCUCACUCUCGGACGCCCUAACGGGAAUGAGAAUUGGUUUUGGGAUCCGCUUAAGCAGAGCGGGCUACAUGAUUUGGUUUACUUGGGGUACUCCACCGUGCCUCAUCCGGAGACCAGCACCUUUCACAUGCCCAUGGGGGAGAUGACUGUGACAUUGGAUGAUGUCGCAUGUCUCACGCAUCUUCCUAUUGAGGGGCGGAUGUUGGAUCAUGGGAAGAAGAUGCCCAAGCAUGAGGGAGCGGCACUGCUGAUGAGGUAUCUGGGUGUGUCCCAGCAUGAGGCUGAAAAGAUCUGCAACCAGGAGUACGGUGGGUACAUUAGCUACCCGAGGCUGAGGGACUUCUAUACCACGUACCUUGGUAAGGCCAACUUAUUGGCGGGUACGGAGGAUCCUGAGGAGCUUGAGGAGCUGGCGAGGGUUAGGACAUACUGCGUCCGGUGUUACCUUCUGUACUUGGUCGGAUGCUUGUUGUUUGGCGAUAGAAGCAACAAGCGCAUCGAGCUGAUAUAUUUGACGACCAUGGAGGACGGCUACGCAGGGAUGCAUAAUUAUUCCUGGGGAGGUAUGACCCUCGCCUACCUAUACGGCGAGUUGGCUGAUGCAUGUAGGCCUGGACACAGAGCUCUUGGGGGGAGCGUGACACUGCUCACUGUAAGAAAACUUAAAUUUUAUAUUUAUGUUAACUUUAUUUUUUUGUUAACUUUUAUUUUUUUGUUAUAUUUUUCCGUGCGUAAUGAUUUAUAAAUGUUAUUUGUUUGGUUUGUGCAAGCAUGGUUUUUGGUGCAUUUUCCAGGGUUUUACAGUGUUGAUCCCAACACUGACUACGUGGAAAACUAUCCAGUUGCAGCGAGGUGGAAGCUCCAGAAGGGUCAUGGGGGGAGAUCACGUAUCGGUCACUGCUUGAUCGUAUACAAUUAGAUGAUGUAUGUUGGAGGCCGUACGAGGAGCACAGAGAGAUCCAGGACUUCGAGGAGGUUUUCUGGUAUUAUGGGUGGAUUAUGUGUGGUGUCCGUAGGGUGUACCGUCACUUGCCCGAGAGGGUUUUGAGGCAGUACGGAUACGUGCAGACCAUCCCCAGACAUCCGACUGCUGUUAGGGACCUCCCACCGUCUUCCAUUAUGCAGGUGUUCGUUGACUUCCGCACUCACACGAUUAAGGCGGACGAUCGGGGUGAGCAGGCAGGAGAGGAUACAUGGCGGGUGGCGGAUGGCUAUGUCAUAUGGUACACUAGGGUGUCUCACCCUCAGAUCUUGCCACCUAUUCCAGGAGAUCUUCCGAGGCCUGCAAAUAAAGAGCAGAUCAUUGCAGACCAGUGGGAGCGGUAUGAGGCGAGAAGCUCGCCUGACACCUAUGACAUGGUUAGUGGCGCUGUUGCCUAUGCUGAUGCGCAGUUAGGCCAGGAGGAGGUCAUGAGCAUGACCCCUCAGCAGUGGUUUGAGGCCAUGACCCAUAUGAGGGAGCAGAUCGCGCCGAUUUUGACCAGGAGGAGAGCCCAGAGGCCGAGGAGGAGGCACUAUCUGCAGGAUCAGGACCAGUAGUACUAUUUUCCUUUUUUAGGACUUAGUUUUUAGUUUUAGUCUUUUGAUGACAUUGAGUUAUGUAUAUUUGUAUAUUUGUAUAUUUAUAUUUUUAUGACAUUAUUUUUAAUUUCAUGGGCUCGUUUUACUUUGUUUAAUGUACAAAAAUGUUGGUUUAAUUAAAUUGUGCAUUUGCACCAAUAUUUUUUUGUUAUUUGAACCGUUAUGAUGAAUUUUAACCGUUUGUGUAAAAAUCCGGCUUUCAAAAUAAUUUAGAAUGAUAUUGAAAUGCUUUUUAGAAUUAUGAAGAUUUCCUCGGCAUGAAAAUUAAAGUUUGUUCUUGUAACUUCAUGUAUUGAUAAUAAGCAAUUUUCAAUGAGACGUGAUCGUUACCUUUUUUCUAGAGUGUAGUAGUAGUAUUUUAUUACUAAUGACAAAGUUUUAGUUGUCUAGUCAAACCUGAACACUACUAUAUAAUAUAAGUGUGCCGUUGAUUUGCCUCCAAUUCGUGAAAGAAGAUUUGGCGAAGAUUGGAGAGAAAUUGAGAAUUUUGUAAAGUUUUGGAUGUUCAGUUUUCCUCGGCAGUUAACUAUCGAGGUUUUCUUCGGCAGUUAACUGCCGAAAUUUUGAAAAAUCCGGCUGCAGUUAACUGCCGAGGGAAACCUCGGGAGUUAACUGCCGAGGAUCUUAUGCGCUACAAAAUCUGGCAGAAUCUCCUCUCAUCCAUUAUUGAUCUUAUCUUCCAAAUAAUUUCUUCAAAUUUCUCUCAAAAUCUCUCUAAAAAACACAACCAAAUCCAACCAACUUUAUUCAACAAAAUCACAAGUAAGUAAUUAUAAUGCUAUUAACUUACAUUUUAGUUGUUAUAAAUGUUAUUAUUUUUUAGUUUUUGAGUACAUUUAUUAUUUUUUAGUAGAUUUACAUGUUAUAAUUAAUUUUUAGGGUAUAUGUUAGUUGAUUAAUGUUGUUAAAAUAUUUGCAUGAUGUUUAUGUUAUAUGAUUAAUUUUUUUAUUUUAGUAAGAGUAUAUGAUUUAUAAUUUUAGGAUUAUUUUUAUGAAUUUUAGAGUCUAUGUAUAAUGUGCACAUCAAGUGUUCGAUGAAAUGUUUGAAUGAGUUUUUGAUUGAUUGUUUUUAGUUUCUUAUUGUGUAGAUUUAAAACAAUGGCCAGGUGGAUCGACGUUCAUGCGCAAUUCAACGGCGGAGAACCUCAGAGGUUGAAGGUUCGGUGCCUUGGUGUAACGUUAAGAGGUCUCAAGGAUAAACUGACUGAAUUCAACCAAGGAGUCAACCCCAAAGAUACAAGGAUGGUGGAACACGUUUGGUAUAAACGUCCAACGCUCGACGAGGGGAGAGUAUCAUUCACUUGGGUGGAAUUAACGAAUGACGAAAACGUGACGACCAUGUUUUGGGAGCACAGCAUGUUCCAGUGGAUCGAUAUGCGGGUGAAGUUGGUUAGAUCAACUGAAGAUAUCAUCAAAAGUUUGAUUCCGCCGGAAGAUCGUCAUUAGUUAGGGUAAGGUGCAUUCCAACUACAACAAUUGUCUUCCUUUGAAUGAGAUCAAUUCAAACCUGCCAAACAACAGGACUCGAGCAUUUCGCUCGGCAUUCAUUUUUUUCCUUUGAAAAGAUUAAAUUCUUGUUAGGCUGAUUUAGAUGAAGGUAUUAAGUGUCAAGGAAUGAACCUCAUUUCGUUGGCACUUGAAUACCAUCAUCUAAAGCACGCCUAACAAAAAUUUAUUCUUUUCAAAGGAAAACAUGAAUGCCGGGUGAAAUGCUUGAGUCCUGUUGUUUUGCAGGUUUGAAUUUAUCCCAUUCAAAGGUAACAUAAUUGUUGGAGUUGGAAUGCACAUUCCAACUGCAACAAUUGUCUUACCCUGGAUGGGGCAAUUCAAACUUGCUAAUCGGCAGGACUCCAGUAUUCGAUGAGCAUCUUGAACAAUGGUAUUCAAGUGUCAAGGAAUGCACCUCAUUCUGUUGACACUUGAAUACCAGCGUUCAAGAUGCUAAUCGAAUACUGGUGUCAUGCUGCUUGGCAAGUUUGAAUUUGCCCCAUUCAGUGGUAAGAUGAUUGUUGCAGUUGGAAGGUAAAUUUCGGAAUGUAAUGUAAUAUGUAAUACAAUGUAAUGUGAUAACAUAUAUUUUGUUUUGAAUGGAACAAUAAUUAUCUUAUUUUGUUUUCAAAUUUAUUUAUUCCAAAUGCAAUUUUAUUAUAAGCACCAUAAUGUCAAACAAAAUGUGCGCGACACAAAAAUUAAACAUAAAAAAAUCCAAAACAAUUAGGCAUUAAAAGUCAUUACAUUUAUUCUUCCUCGUCACACAAAUCAAUUGGCUUGUCCGCUACAGUCCCUGCAGUACCUUGUUUUGGUCGAGGACCGAAAUAACAUGUCCUCUCGCUCCUCCUCAACCUCGAGUGAUUGUACACUGGCACCUUCGAACCCUUCUUUUUUUCAGAACCAUUGCAAACAAUUCCAUGCCACGUCAUAGGUGAUUUUUCUUUUUUCUUCUCAUCAUCGUGAACGUUACCCUGAUUCUGAUUCUGAGAUAUAUCUACAUUAAAAAAAAAAAUGGCGAUCAAUUCAACCUAUACUAACCUAAACUAUCCUAACAAUUCUAACCAUUCUAACCUAAACUAUCCUAACAUAUCAUAAAAUCAACAAAUCAAUAUAAUCGAAAUUUAACAAAAAAUAACAUACAAUUCGACCACAAAGCAACAAUACAAUAGAAUUCAAAAAACUUACUUGUUUUUGUUAUUAAAAUUGGCUUGUAAUGGCUUCAAAUGACUCAAAAUCGCACCUUGGAUAAUUAAAACGCAAACUUGGAGUUUUGGAAACUCCUAUGCAGUUCUGUUCUUAUAACAUUUUCCUCGGUAGUUAAAUGUCGAGGUUUUCCUCGGCAGUUAACUGCCGCCGACUUCCUAAAAACUUCGGCAGUUAACUGCCGAGGAGCAUUUGCGUAAUUUACUUGUGUGGCAUAGCCAAACUAAAUGUGAGAAAAGCAAUUCUCGAUAAACAAUGCCUAUGUUGUCAAAAAUAUCGGAUUAAAGCAAUGAGAGAAUACCAAAUCAGCUCAACCAUGCAAAAUCAACUCAUUUUGGACUUGAAAUACACAACAUGACAUUACAAUUCAAGAAUAAAAAAAAAGAAGUCUUUGCUUUGGUAGAGUAACAACAACAAACUAUUAAAACUUCAAACAAAGAAAAUAAAUAUUGUAAAAGAAAUAAAUGAGGAUAAUCAGAUAGUUUUUUUUUUUUUGGUUACGGAUAAUCAUAUAGUUAACUCAUCCAUAAAACAAAAUACUAGUAUUCAUACAAUUUAAAAAUUAGUUAAUUUCUAUAGUUCAAGAAAUAGAAUCUUAAAAAAUGACAAUGUUUUAUUAAAAGACAGAGACACAUGGUCAUAUGACCUGCCCCAUGAAGAAAAACAUGGACCUAUGCCUUACUUUGACAAUGUUUUAUUCUGUCGGCCACGUGAACGUUUGCUCACAAUUAUUGACCACCUACUUUUCUGACUUUCUACUUUCAUUGCAUUUAUUUUCAAAGGUCUCCAGCUUGGUUCAGCACUCAUUCUAUCUAAACUAAUUUCUCAUCUUCUUAUCUUUUCAACUCUUUAAUUUGUUUUCACAAAAACAAUGGCUGACGCUUUGCUUGGAUUUGUUUUUGAAAACUUGACGUCUCUCCUUCAAAAUGAAUUUUCUACCAUUUCUGGAAUCAAAUCAAAGGUUCAAAAGCUAUCAGACAACUUAGUUCACAUCAAGGCUGUUCUUGAAGAUGCUGAGAAGAAACAAUUCAAAGAACUCUCUAUUAAGCUAUGGUUACAAGACCUCAAAGAUGCUGUUUAUGUGCUCGAUGAUAUCCUUGAUGAGUACUCGAUCGAGUCUUUUCGACUGAGAGGAUUUACCUCUUUCAAACUAAAGAACAUCAUGUUUCGCCAUGAGAUUGGUAACAGGUUCAAAGAGAUUACAAGGAGGUUAGAUGAUAUUGCUGAAAGUAAGAACAAGUUUUCUCUACAGAUGGGUGGAACUCUUAGGGAAAUCCCAGAUCAAGUAGCUGAAGGGCGCCAAACCAGCUCCACCCCUCUUGAAUCAAAAGCGCUGGGAAGAGACAAUGAUAAAGAAAAGAUUGUCGAGUUUCUUCUCACCCAUGCGAAGGACUCUGACUUCAUUUCUGUCUAUCCCAUUGUUGGUUUAGGUGGUAUUGGAAAAACAACUCUUGUUCAAUUGAUCUACAAUGAUGUUAGGGUGAGUCGCAAUUUUGAUAAAAAAUUUUGGGUUUGUGUUUCUGAGACUUUCUCGGUCAAGAGGAUUUUGUGUUGUAUUAUAGAAUCUAUUACAUUAGAGAAGUGUCCUGACUUUGAGUUAGAUGUCUUGGAAAGAAAGCUGCAAGGAUUGUUGCAAGGGAAAAUAUAUUUGCUGAUUUUGGAUGAUGUGUGGAAUCAAAAUGAACAAUUGGAAUCUGGGUUAACACAAGAUAGAUGGGAUCGUUUAAAAUCUGUUUUGUCGUGUGGAUCAAAAGGUAGUUCCAUUUUAUUGUCCACCCGUGAUGAGGUUGUUGCAACUAUCAUGGGAACAUGGGAAACUCACCGUUUGUCUGGUCUCUCUGAUAGUGACUGUUGGUUGUUGUUCAAACAACAUGCAUUUAGACGUUACAAAGAGCAUACAAAGUUUGUGGAAAUAGGAAAGGAGAUAGCAAAGAAAUGUAAUGGAUUGCCACUUGCAGCAAAAGCAUUGGGGGGUUUGAUGAGCUCAAGGAAUGAAGAAAAUGAAUGGCUUGAUAUUAAAGACAGUGAGCUUUGGGCUUUACCACAAGAAAAUUCUAUUUUGCCUGCUUUGAGGCUGAGUUACUUUUAUUUAUCACCAACCCUAAAGCAAUGUUUCUCUUUUUGUGCUAUAUUUCCCAAGGAUAGAGAAAUCCUAAAAGAAGAAUUGAUUCGACUUUGGAUGGCUAAUGGAUUUAUUUCAUCUAUGGGUAAUUUGGACGUUGAAGAUGUUGGAAACAUGGUUUGGAAGGAAUUGUACCAAAAAUCAUUCUUCCAAGAUUGCAAGAUGGAUGAAUAUUCUGGAAACAUUUCUUUUAAAAUGCAUGAUCUUGUCCAUGAUCUCGCUCAAUCAGUAACGGGGAAAGAAUGUGUGUAUUUGGAGAAUGCAAACAUGACUAAUUUGACAAAAAACACACACCACAUAAGUUUUCACUCUGAAAAAUUGUUAUCAUUCGAUGAGGGUGCCUUCAAAAAAGUUGAAUCCUUACGAACAUUGUUUGACUUGGAGAAUUAUAUUGCAAAAAAACAUGAUCACUUCCCAUUAAACAGCUCUCUUCGAGUUUUAAGCACAUCCUUUCUACAGGUCCCAGUAUGGAGUUUAAUUCAUUUAAGGUAUUUGGAAAUUCAUUCUCUUGGCAUAAAAAAGUUGCCUGACUCAAUUUACAACUUACAAAAACUGGAAAUCUUGAAAAUAAAACACUGUAAUAAACUUAGUUGCCUUCCGAAACGCUUGGCUUGUUUACAAAAUCUUAGACAUAUAGUCAUUGAAGAAUGUCGAUCUUUGUCUCGAAUGUUUCCUAACAUUGGAAAAUUAACUUGUCUAAGAACAUUAAGUGUGUACAUUGUUAGUUUAGAGAAAGGGAAUAGCUUGACAGAGUUACGUGAUCUAAACCUCGGUGGAAAACUGAGUAUCAAAGGAUUAAACAAUGUUGGCAGUUUAUUUGAAGCUGAAGCGGCUAAUUUGAUGGGUAAAAAAGACCUUCAUGAAUUAUACUUGUCAUGGAAAGACAAACAAGGAAUUCCAAAGACCCCUGUUGUUAGUGCUGAGCAAGUACUCGAAGAGCUUCAACCUCACUCAAAUCUCAAAUGCUUGACAAUAAAUUACUAUGAAGGAUUAUCAUUACCAAGUUGGAUAAUUAUUCUUAGUAAUUUAGUUUCUCUUGUACUUCUCCAUUGCAAGAAAAUUGUGCGGCUUCCGUUACUUGGUAAACUACCAUCUCUAAAAAAACUGAGAUUAUAUGGUAUCAAUAAUCUGAAAUACUUGGAUGAUGAUGAAUCUGAGGAUGGUAUGGAGGUGAGGGUUUUCCCCUCUCUGGAGAUACUCGAAUUAUCUUGUCUACGAAACAUAGUGGGGUUAUUGAAAGUGGAAAGAGGGGAGAUGUUUCCUUCUCUUUCUAAAUUGGUAAUCGAUUGUUGCCCUAAACUUGGACUGCCAUGUCUUCCAUCUCUUAAAGACCUCUAUGUUUACCCUUAUUUGCCUCAUAUUCCAAAAAUAGAGUUAUAAGAAGCAGAGACGUUUACCCUUAUCUGCCUCAUUAGCCAUCACAAAAAUCAAUUUUACUGGUAGGAUCUCUAUUUACCCUUCUUAUGUUUGCAUUUCAACUGCUCAAAAAUCUUUAUUUUUAUUCUCGUUGUUGACUUCUUUGGAACGCAUCCCGCAGAAAGAGUACAUGAAAGAUAUUUUACUACUCAACCAACCUAAGGACAAUUGUUCUAAUUCAGGUAAUUUUCUUCAUCAUAAUUUUAUUUUUUUAAUUUUAUUUUUUGAACUUUUUUUAAAUUUUGCUGAUUUUGUGGAGAUUGAACUGAAUGGUUAGGAUUUCCUUUGACACACAAGGGUGGGGUCGACAAAUAAAGGGAUUAAUAGGUUCCUAAUGAUGAAGAUGACAUCGUUCGGAGUGGAGGAUGUGACAAUGAGUCCGGUGGUGGUAGAGGUUUUCGCUUUUGAUCAUUGGGGCGUGGGUCGGAGCUCUGUGCACAAUAGAAAGUCUGAUCAUCAAGGUUUUUAUUGGUCUUUACUCUUUUGUAUUUAUUUGCUUUAGAUUGUUUAUUUGAAUGAUAUAUUGUUUGAUAAUAAUUUGAAGAAAUGAAAGUUUUUGAAUGUAAUUAUAUGGGUUGGUGUCAUAUCAGUAUCUAAACAUCAGACAUGUCAUCAAUAUGAAGUGUUGGUGCUACAUUAAUUUGAAUAAUUUACAAACAGUGAAAUGGAAAUUUGAAUAUUGGUGAAUGAUUAUUGGGUGCAGAACAGUGAUCAUGGCAAAGGAUGCAAUUACUUUGUUGGGUCAUUUAGGUUGGAAAAAGGCUCAUGUUUUUGGGCAAUUAGCGGGUUAUUAUUUUGUGUGUGUGUUUCUCUGUCUUUGAUUUGAUUAGGUUGAGUUUAUUUGUGUGUUUAUUUUUAAAUAGUUUGCCUAUUGAAACAGGAUCUAUGAUAGCUUGUAAAAUAGCAGCAAUGGUUCCUGAUAGAGUUCUCUCCCUGACAGGAGAUUUUCAAUGUUUUCCAGAGGUAUAUCUCCCUUUUAUAAUUCUUUGAACAUUUUGAUUUAUUUUUACGGCACUGUGAUUAGAGCAUUGACGACGCAAUAUUUGUAAGACGUUAACUACAUCAAUGAUUGCUAGCCACACUUUUUAAUUACAAACUUAGCUCAUGACGAGUGGACCUGCAUACGUAAUAAGUAUAAUUUGUUGGUACAGAUUUUAGGUGAUCCUUUAGGACAAUUUUAGUUGAGAAUUUAUCUUUCUAUGGUUUUGAGUCAGAAUUUUGUUGAGAAUUUCAUAGUACUAAAAUUGUCUUGGUAUGUUAUUUGCUAAUUUUUAAAGAAUAUUGACGGCUGUUGAUUCAGACACUAAACUCUGUUGAUUCAUGCAUAUUUGAUUUCUAAGUAUUUCUCAAGACAGUUAUCUGGAAGAAGAUGUAUGCUAGUUUUAUCUCUUCCCUGCAUCUUCUUAUCCCCAAACUACUUUCUAAUUUAAAUUUCUAUAUGCAGGAAUCACUUACUUUCUCUGUUUUUGUAUGGAAUAUGUCUACGAGUAAAAUUAUUGUGAGAAUUGGGCCAUAUCUUUAGAAUUGACGCUGAGCUUGUUAAUGCAACAAAUCAAAAUUCUUGGUUCAAGCUAUUAGCCAGGUGUGUAUACAGCUCUUCAUUAGGAAGGUGUGUAUUUAGCUAUUUCAUGAUUCUAGUCGAGUCACUCAUGUUAUUUCAUUAUGUUUGUGUCAGAUAUGUUGUGGAAUGCUGCUGACUUGCAGCCAUGUUUGUGUCGGACAAUUUUAUUUAUCAAGUUGUGUUGUGUCCACUGCUUUUCCUGAAAGCAAGAGGAUGCUUCAGCUGAACCACAGAAUCUAUAAGAGGUGAUGAUUUUGGAUGAUAUGAAUGAGAAAUCAACCGUUUAAUUUGAUAACAAAGUGAAUUUUACAUCUUUUAACUCUUUAUAUUUUAGUAUAUUAGCAUUAGUCAUAUCACUUACAGAGAGCAUCUCCUGUGAAACUGAACAGGUGACACUUAUUUCGCUUUGAACUAUGGAUAUUGUUGAAUGUGAGGAAUUGAGAUCCCUGCCAUAAGGUAUUUGACACCUCACUUCACUUGAGUUUUUGAAUAUUCGUGGUUACCCAUAAGGAAUUGAAGACAUUUUUUAAGAGACUUGAUUUAUGUGAACCUUGUGAUUUUGUCUGAGACGAAAUCGAUUAAAAUUGUCAACCUUAUGGGUCAGAUUAUCGUUAUCGCGUUUCCACUUCCAUUGAUGCUGGUAUUGAUAAGAUAUAGAUCUUCAUUCCUAUAGUAUUAAUUUUAACAUAUACUACUAGAUUUCAAUUUGAUUUCAUGUAUUCAUGAAAAUAUGCAGGUGAUGGUCCUUCAUUUAUGAAAUAGCCCUUUCAUGUAUAAUAUAUUUAUGAAAGAGUCGGAGUUUCAUGUUCGAUCACGGGAAACACCAAUAUUAGGAAUGAAGUUUGCUGCUGAAGAUUUCAAUUUCCUUUAACUGAUAGCUCUUUGCUGGUUAUGGUUAAUUUCAAGGUAAGGCAUAGUUCAUAUCUUAGUGAAUACUUUAACAUGAAUUUUCUGCCUCGUCAAACUAAUUUAUUUUAACAUACAUGUCGAAACUUUAGUUGGCUUUCUUUUUAUUGCAUGCUUCAACAAAGUAAUACUCUUUCCACCUCCUUGUGGUUAGAGUUGGUUUUCAGGACUUUAUAAUGCUAAUUACCUUCACAUAUCAUUUUUUAACCAAACAUAUUUAAAAUUCCAUCCUUAUAGCAAAGAAAAAAAUAGUAUAUUGUAUAUGUAUGGUAAGAUUUUAUAAAGGAAUUGAGUGUAUUUUGGUCAUACAUACAGGCAAGGGACUGAAUGUAUUUUGGCCUGAAAAAUCAAUCUCCAAAGAAGGCAGUGAACAAUGGUGAUCCAACACAAUAGCCGAACUUAAUUCCAACUAAUAACAGAUGUUGAAAGAGUUAUAUAUAGCUUCGCCUAAGCCUCAGGAGGCUGUCCUUGAUUUUACGAUAUCUACUAGUAGUAAUGUUGCUGAAAUAAGGGAUUCUUUGUAUUAAUCUCUUUCCCAUUCCUCUAGUGUAGUUUUUUGUUGGUGAGCUUAUAAUCAGACAUUUUGUGCCUUGGUUGUACCAAACAAUGUACAUACAUUUUUUAUUUAAAAGGGACAAAUACUUUUUUGAAUUCAUACUUAAUCAAGUAACUACGAGAUAUUUUUGUCAUUUAUAAAAUUCACUUGUCAACAGAAAUGUAACCAGACAAAGAAUUCAAUAAACAUGGCACAAGUUAUCAUCAGCACACAUGAAUGAUCCUUAAGAAGGGACUUCAGCUUGAGGAUAUGUAAUAUAAUAAUAUUGAUUUCCUUCACAAAUUAGCUUCCACUGAAUAUAUUUAAGAACUCAUCCUUGUUUUAUUUCAAAUUCUUGUUUCUUAUCUGUUCAGUAAGUGAACUUGUUAUAAAUAUCCGUGUCUGGGGAGUUUGUUUAUAAUAUUUCAUGAUAAGAACUAGGAUUCGACAUAAAACAAAGUCAAUAGAAUUCUCGAUCUCUCAAACUCUGAAAUGCUUAUUAUUUUAAUGAUUCUAGCUAGAGCAAAGUGAUUGUGCCUGAGUCAAACACAUCUGAUGUGAAGGGUGGUUGUGCAUGAGUCGAACGCAUCUGAUGUGAAAAUGGGAAAUAUUAGUGAAUAUACACUAUCGGCGUAAAAUUGGUUUGCAUUAACGUUCAGAUAGAGCUCACUGUUUUCAUGUUUUGCCAAGCUAUGUUUUCAUCUCUACAAUGCAAUUGUAUAAUUCUUCUUUUCCGCCAUGCCCCCCUCGGCCUCAUCAUCGAACUUAGUUGAUUCUCCAAAUUAUUAAAAUCAAACCACCAUAGAAUACCAAUAUAUUAAGCAAGGUUCCCUAAUUAUCCUGGUUUAUGCACAAUUUAUCUGGCGCCGAUAUUUGUUGGUGCACUCUCCCUCUCUUUUUCUUCUUUGUUAAACUGUGUGAUUACUUGUAAUAUUAGAUAGCUUGCGCAGCAGGUUACUCUGCCAUUCCAUAGAUCUUUACUGUGUACUAGCAUCAUAUGAUUCUAAUCCUAGAUAAUAGUUUGUUAGAGUUAGUUAGGAUCAUAUACAGCUUUAUAUUAGCUUUGUUGUAACCAAUUUCAGAUCAAUUCAUAGAAUAAAACCUAAAUAGGAUUAGAAGAAAACCUUUGUAUAAUCUAAAGACAAUAUACACAAAUAAUAAUAUUGGAGUUGUGAACCUAAAGGAUACAAAUAGAAAAGGAAAAAAAAAGAGCUGAAAUGGUUGAUAACAACACUUAGAAUAAUUCUGGCAAUGUUAAUGACAUGUCUUAGGCUAGUGGAACAACUAACUUGGAACAUAGUAUCGAUGCUAACACUAUUCAUGAUCACUAACUUAGUCAAUUAAAACAUCAACCAGAUUCUCACCAUGCUCCCUAGCAAUGUUGAAAUCUUUAAUGCCGUCCAUUCUCUUAACAAGGGCUCUGAUGGAUUUGGAGCAUUUUCCUUUCAAACUUAUUGGAAAUUAUUAAACUGGAGGUUAUAAAUGUUGUUAUGCAAUUCCUCUCAAAUGGACGGCUUCUUCCUAAUUUUAAUCCAAAAACUAUUGUUUUGACCCCAAAGGUCCCUAAUGCUGAUAAUGUGAAUCAAUUUAGGUCUAGAGCAUUAGCCAACUUCAAGUUCAAAUUCAUUACAAAAAUCAAUGCUAGAAGAUUAACUUAGAUCAUGCCAUUAUAAAAAAUAUGUUUGAAUUACAAAGCUAUAUAUAGAUUUGUCAAUGUUUGAAAGGUCUUGGCCUAGUCUCCCUUUCUGUUUGUUUUCUUUCCUUUCUUUGAAUAUAACGUAACUAUGUGAUACACUUAGAGCAUCACCAUUUAUAAAAACAAAAAAAAUAUAUUGGCAUUUGCCAAAUAUUUUGAUACUUUAGACUGGCACUUUCUAAUAAGGAUUCUCAAAGCUUUUGAUUUAAACUGUACUUUUUGCAAUUGGAUAAAUUGUAGUCUCAAAUCAACAAUGCUUUCUAUGUUGUGAAUGGCAAACAAGAAGUCUACUUUUCUUUUAAGAUACGGGAUAGACAGAGAGACCCCAUCUCCCAUUUACUUUCAUGUCGUAAUAAAGAAGUCAUCAGUGUAACAUCUAAGACUGUUUUUAGGAUUGGCGAUUGACCCCACAAAUUAAUACGAGUCUUUUUAGUAUGUUUUGUUCUCUCUCGCACGCUUUUCAAGAAACUUUUUAGAAUGUCACCCGUCCCAAAAUUGCUCCAAGUUGAGCACGCUUAAUUGUGGAGUUCUUAUGGUUUGACCUACCGAAAAGAAGAUGCAUCUUGUUUUUAUAGGUAGUACCAAACAAUUCAUAUAAGCCUUCCUUCAACAAUGAUGUCCCAUACUUGCACAACCUCAGGAUCCCUCUCAUUCUGAUGUGAUUCGGUUUUGCCAAUAAGCGUGUCAGGAGUCGGACCACUACAUGCCCUUGUCAGUCUCGGACGUUACAUGCCCACCAAGUGGAGGCGUUACAUUCUCAACUGCUUCCGCUUGGUUCAUCCCCGAACCACAUCAAACUGGAGAGGUCUACUUUGAUACCACGUGUAACAUCCCAGACUGCUUUCAAGAUUGUCGAUUGACUCCACAAACCAACAGGAGUCUUUUCAGCGUGUUUUGUCCUCGCUCGCACGCUUUUCGGAAAGCUUUCAAGAAAGUCAUCCAUCCCAAAAUUGUUCCAAGUCAAGCACGAUUAACUGUAGAGUUCUUAUUGUUUAGGCUAAAACAAUUUAUAUCUUGUAUUUAUAGGUAGUAUAAAACAAUUUAUAGAAAAACGACACACAUAAAAAAUAUUAAUUUACUUCUUAUUGUAGUGCAUUAGUAUUAUUUUAUAGUGAUAUUCUAGUUUUUCUUAUCUUCUAAAAUCCAACAAGACGUGGAGGCUAUUAAAACUAAUUUUUUUAUUUUUUAAGCCAAAUAGGGAAUAUACUCCCUCCGUUUCAUAAUACUUGUCCAUUUUAGAGAAUAAUUUUGUUUCACAAUACUUGUCACUUUCAAGUUUCAAUGCAACAUUAGUUAUUGUCUUGUCAAUAAUACCCUUGCAUAUUUAUUGUAGAGAGAGAAAAAAAUAAAAUGAAAUAAUAGAUGAUUAAGGGUAUUAUAAAAAACACACACAUAUUUUCAUCAAAAAUAACAAAAUUUAUUUGGUUUCUUGGUUAGUGCAAUUUCUCCAAAAUGGACAUGUAUUUUGAAACGGAGGGAGUAAUAAAUAAAAAGGAAGACAUACAAAGACUGGGGCAUAGGACCUGACCCAGGGACAACCCAAACGGGGAUACAACAUGAUAAAUUAGUCUAGGAGGAUCAACUCUAAAUUAUCCUAACAUAAAUUCACUAAAUACGAGCGCUACCCAACGAAUCCGCGUACAGGUGCAAAACUAGGUUAAAAAAAGAAUGAAAAGUGAAAAUCCGCACAGGACAUCUAGAGAAUGAAAAAUAGGCUAUUAAAACUAAUUAAAAUGUAAGAGUAAUAUAAAAUUUGAAGUGUUUCUCAUAUCUUCUAAAACCCAACAAGACAUCUAAAUUAUUAUUUAUUAUGACAUCAAAAUAAAAAUAAAGACUAUGAAGUAAGGUAAAAUUUAUUUAUCAACCUAACUCUUAAAGUUAUUCUUAUAAGGCUGAUAUGCCUAAAUUGUAUAACAUGAUGAUACCUUCAAAAUUAAUGGAGAAGAGGACAAUCAAAAUAAUAAUCUUUAUUGACUUAAAGUAAGUUUUUUUUUUUUUUUUUUUUUUUUUUACAAUAAAGUAAGCUUAUUACAGUAGAACACUAUAACUACAAGUUUCAUCAAAUUAAAAAAAUAAAGGAAAAUGUUAACUUGUGUCUUUAAGGCACAAACUAAUGAAACAAAUAUAGAAAUAGUUUAUUGAAAUGUGUGCAUUACAUUUAAUUUUUAAUUUUUUAAUGAGUUGAAUGCACAAAAUUUUAUACUCCCUCCGUCCCUUAAUAAGUGACACAGUUGACCCAAUUACGCAUACCAAUGCGUAAAUUUGAGUUUAAAUAUCUUGAAUAAUAUAUUGGAAAAAAUUAUGAAAAUUUGAUAUUUUGAAAAUACUCAUCGAGACGAAUCUAACGACAUCUUAUAUGAUAUUAUUUAUCUUUGUAUAUUAAUAGAAAAAUAUGGUCAAAAUAAGUUAGGUCAAAAUUGCACAUUUUCAAAUAUGUCAUUUAUUGCGGGAUGGAGGGAGUAAAAUAUUUCUUUUUUAAAGUUUUAAUGGUCCGAAACUAAUAGAAUCGUAAGUGCGCUGCUACCAAUUCACAUUUGUGAUUAAUGCAUUUAUAAAUAUAAAACAAGUUCCCACUUUUUGGACAAUCAGCAUCAAUUUGACAUUCAUCACUUGCUGUAAUAAGAAGAAAAAAAGUCAAGAAAAUAAUGUUACUACAUGAUUGUGUACGAGCCACAAAGUAAAAAAAGAAAUUUGAAAAGAAUAAAAGGAAUGGCUUACCAACACCAAAUUUCGUUGCGAUGAGAAAUAAGGAAAUAAAUAGAAUCCUGACACAAACAAACUUAAGAAUUUGAACCAUAUUUUAUCUUGUUUGAGUGUAAAAAAUAGAAAAUGAUUUGGUCUAUUUAUAAUUUUCCUGCUCUCUAAAAUAAUGAAAUAUUUUUAGCACUUACAAAGUUGAAACCGUCGUUCAUAAUAUUAUGAUCAUUAUUAAAUAUUUAUUAAGUAUAUCAAUGUGUUGUGUUUGUUCUUUUAGCACACUUAAGGUGAGUCAAAUAACAAAAUUACUAAUCAUUAAAAUUCAUUCUUUAUAUUUAACUUUUAUUUACUUUUUUUAAAGUUAAAAGUUUUUUUUUUUUAAGAAGCUAAAAUGAAUUAUAUUACCACCUCAAAAGAGUCUUUCCUAGCACAAGACGUACUAAGGAAAAAACAACAAUGUCCUAUUACAAUCUCCAGUACAAAGCUAAAGAUAAAAGAGAAGAAACAUUAGCCUAUGCCCAUAAUAGUAAACGGGCUAAUCCACCACCCGUGGUAAUUGAGGGGAAGAGAGGAAUACUUCGCCUUCAACCACGUAAAGGCAAGCGACUUAAUAUUGUCUACCACCUGAUUAACCGAGCAUUCUUUGACAUUAAACAGCAUAUUGUUUCUUUCCUUCCAAAUUUCCCAAACAACUGCAUACCAAAUAACCUGAAGAAUAGAGCGAUGUGCCUUUGUGAAACCACCACCCAAACUAAACUGGUUAAAAUGAUCGGACACCUGAAAAGGGGAAGCCACGGACAAGCCUAACCACCUAUGAAUAAAGUGCCAUACAGAACCAAAAAAAUUACAAUGUAAGAACAAAUGAUUUGAAGUUUCCAGAGAGCCACAACCAGCGACACAAAGCCUGGAAGUUUGGUUAAUAACACCACGACGGAACAAAUUAUCUUUUGUGGGCAAUCUAUCUCGAAACAACCGCCACGCAAAGAGCACCACCUUCAACGGAAUGUCUCUAUGCCACAAAAAACAAGCAUCCACUGAAAGCACUAAAGGAGGUUGAAGAGUAAGAUAGUUAUAGGCACUUCGGACAGUGAAGACACCUGAAGAUUCUAACGUCCAAAGCCAUUUAUCAACCUUCGCAACCUGUAAAUUCACAUUCUGAAGCAAUAAUAUUAGAUCCCCGAAUAACCCUUCCUCCCAUACAAACAACCUCCGCCUCCAUGUCCACGCCUCACCGCCUACCCCCCAACCUAAAUGACACAUAUCAAACACCGAGUUCCCCUUAAACACCGAUAAUUCAUAUAGUCUAUUAAACCUGACCCUAAACUCCUCUCCACCACACCAAACGUCCGACCAAAAAAGAGUAUUCUCCCCAUUACCUACCGCCCUCCU